rnacentral:rRNA from 1 species
AGUGAACGCUGGCGGUAGGCCUAACACAUGCAAGUCGAACGGCAGCACAGUAAGAGCUUGCUCUUACGGGUGGCGAGUGGCGGACGGGUGAGGAAUACAUCAGAAUCUACUUUUUCGUGGGGGAUAACGUAGGGAAACUUACGCUAAUACCGCAUACGACCUACGGGUGAAAGCAGGGGAUCUUCGGACCUUGCGCGAUUGAAUGAGCCGAUGUCGGAUUAGCUAGUUGGCGGGGUAAAGGCCCACCAAGGCGACGAUCCGUAGCUGGUCUGAGAGGAUGAUCAGCCACACUGGAACUGAGACACGGUCCAGACUCCUACGGGAGGCAGCAGUGGGGAAUAUUGGACAAUGGGCGCAAGCCUGAUCCGGCCAUACCGCGUGGGUGAAGAAGGCCUUCGGGUUGUAAAGCCCUUUUGUUGGGAAAGAAAAGCAGCAGGUUAAUACCCCGCUGUUCUGACGGUACCCAAAGAAUAAGCACCGGCUAACUUCGU